CCUACGGGAGGCAGCAGUGGGGAAUAUUGGGCAAUGGGCGCAAGCCUGACCCAGCAACGCCGCGUGAAGGAAGAAGGCUUUCGGGUUGUAAACUUCUUUUGACAGGGAAGAGGAGAAGACGGUACCUGUCGAAUAAGCCACGGCUAACUACGUGCCAGCAGCCGCGGUAAUACGUAGGUGGCAAGCGUUGUCCGGAGUUACUGGGUGUAAAGGGCGUGUAGCCGGGUUGACAAGUCAGAUGUGAAAUCCUGCGGCGUAACCACAGAACUGCAUUUGAAACUGUUGAUCUUGAGUACUGGAGAGGCAGACGGAAUUCCUCGUGUAGCGGUGAAAUGCGUAGAUAUUAGGAGGCACCCCAGUGGCGAAGGCGGCUUUCUGGACUGAAACUGACGCUGAGGCACGCAAGCGUGGGGAGCGAACGGGAUUAGAUACCCGGGUAGUC
rnacentral:rRNA from 1 species